GGGGCCGUAGCUCAGUUGGGAGAGCACCUGCUUUGCAAGCAGGGGGUCGUCGGUUCGAUCCCGUCCGGCUCCACCA
rnacentral:tRNA from 1 species